rnacentral:rRNA from 1 species
CGCUUCGUGGGCACCCGGCGGGAUGUUGAUCACCGUGGCGUGGCGUGGUGUUGGAAUAGAAGGGACAGCGAACGGGGAGGGGGAGGUAGCGGGGAGGGGGUUGGUUAGAACGGGUGUGGCGUCUACGUAGGAGGCGGGGUUUGCUGCCGCUAUCCCUACGGCUGCGGGAUUGGGUGCAGAGGAAGGUGGAGGGGGUUGAGCAGAAGAGCGGCCGAUGAAACCUCCUCGGAGGAAAACGUGCGGUGGCACCGGCCCGACGCCGCUGGUGGUCUCCAGGCGGCGGCGGUCCUAGAGGGAGGAAGAGGUGAUGCUCCGUGGUCGUCUCCCCCCGCUGAGGAGGAAGGUAGGGAUCAGCGCCGGAGGUUGGAGAUUGCGGCGAACUUUGGGAUCGGGCUUAGGCCGUCUCCGUCAACUUCCUUCCCCCGCCCGGUACCUGUUCGACGUUCCACCCCCGGACUUCGGUACCUACCUACACAAACCCUGCCACUCCUCCGUGGGUUGGCUCGCCGCCCGUUCCUACUUCACUUCAACUCGCGUGGCAGCAGUAUAGGGAAGAGGCAGACGACAAUGACCUUCGUUCGUGUCAUGGUAGAGUAGAGUAGGUGCUCGAUAAAAACCGAAUGGGCUUCCCUACGUACGAGAAGUAGAACGUCUUCCUCCCCCGAGCCGGAAGAAGUGCCGAGCGCCGUCACAGAGAGCAACUAAGCAAGCACGUUGUUCCUCCCCUGGGCGGGAAGAAGUACAGAACACGUUGAUCAUUCCUGGUCGGGAGACCGAUAAUGAUAACUAGGUACACGUACACGAUUUUUCCCACUAGCUGCGCCUGAUGGCGACGGGCCACCCGCAGCACGAGAAGUUGGUGAGCCUCCACCUGAAACGGCACUUCAGGCCACUGGCGCAGCGUGUCUACUAGCAGGUCCACUAGCACUGCGGCCUCCGGCGGCUCCACCUCCUGGAGCUAUCGUAGUAAACCCCCCUCCCUCCUAAGCCCAGGUGAUCGCAGACUUGAGACUCGGAACCCGAAUCCGUUUCAAGUAGUUCCACUGAGGUCCGUUUACCCGUUUUUUCAACAAAACCAUAGCUGGUUUCCGGGACUUCGUCCGCGUCCCUUUACUAGACACACGUAAGAUGCAAACGCUCUUGAAAGCUUACUACCGCAGGUUUUCCUCGUCUAGAGUUUCUAUCCAAACCAAGUCUCUCCACGCCCUCGUCGAGGAUGGUCGCCUCGCGUAUGAUCGUGAAAUUCUCCUUUAUCGCCCUAAAAACGAGCUGGUCCAGUAUCUAGGGUUUCUUCUUAUGACAAUGGGCGAUGGCAAGGGGUACUUGGUAAACAGUAGCACGAGGUUUCCGUGGUUCCGUUGUACAUCCUCUUUAACACACACACACACAGAUAUAUACACACACACACACACACACACAUACACACACACACACACACACAUACGCCAAGAUGCAUGCUCUUU